rnacentral:rRNA from 1 species
CCUACGGGUGGCAGCAGUAGAGAAUUUUGCGCAAUGGGCGAAAUCCUGACGCAGCAACGCCGCGUGAUCGAGACGCCCUUCGGGGUGUAAAGAUCUGUCAGUGGGGACGAAACUUGACGGUACCCACAGAGGAAGCACCGGCUCACUCCGUGCCAGCAGCCGCGGUACUACGGGGGGUGCAAGCGUUGUCCGGAAUCAUUGGGCGUAAAGGGAGCGUAGACGGCAGCACAAGUCUGGAGGGAAAUGCCGGGGCUUAACCCCGGAACUGCUUUGGAAACUGUGCAGCUAGAGUUCAGGAGAGGUAAGUGGAAUGCCGAGUGUAGCGGUGAAAUGCGGAGAUAUUAGGAGGAACACCAGGGGCGAAGGCGGCUUACUGGACUGUAACUGACGUUGAGGCUCGAAAGCGGGGGGAGCAAACAGGAUUAGAUACGAGUAGUC